GAUGAACGCUAGCGGCAGGCUUAACACAUGCAAGUCGAGGGGUAUUGGUUUUCGGACCAAGAGACCGGCGCACGGGUGCGUAACGCGUAUGCAAUCUACCUUUUGCAGAGGGAUAGCCCAGAGAAAUUUGGAUUAAUACCUCAUAGUAUAGUACUUUGGCAUCAAGGAACUAUUAAAGUCACAACGGCAAAAGAUGAGCAUGCGUCCCAUUAGCUAGUUGGUAAGGUAACGGCUUACCAAGGCUACGAUGGGUAGGGGUCCUGAGAGGGAGAUCCCCCCACACUGGUACUGAGACACGGACCAGACUCCUACGGGAGGCAGCAGUGAGGAAUAUUGGACAAUGGGGCGCAAGCCUGAUCCAGCCAUGCCGCGUGCAGGAUGACGGUCCUAUGGAUUGUAAACUGCUUUUAUACAGGAAGAAACACUCCGACGUGUCGGAGCUUGACGGUACUGUAAGAAUAAGGAUCGGCUAACUCCGUGCCAGCAGCCG
rnacentral:rRNA from 1 species